rnacentral:lncRNA from 1 species
CCAAGACAAAGAAUUCCCCAAUUCCCUGCCCAAAACAAGACUUCCUCCCCUGAAGAAGUGACUUAGACUAUUUCAAGUGCAACCAAUGCUAUAGGCUAAGUUCUUGCCCCCUUUGGCUAAUACAUAGGCACAUAUUUAUAGGCUACAAUACGGUUGACAAGCCCCAACCGCUGGGUUAUCAUGCCUAAAACGUGGGCACUUCAUGGUCC